rnacentral:lncRNA from 1 species
ACUGGAUCCAUCAAGAAAGGAUAUCCUUCCAUCGUGUGGUCUGUGGCAUUACAUCCAUUGUAAGUAGAUGUUGAAACUUGGUUCACUUGGGUGUGUCCCUUGAGUUCUAAGGCCUCUAACCUACAUAGUAUAGUAUCUAUUUUGGCCUCUGUAGCUAGGAAUGUGGAUACUUGGUGCAUAGUGCCUCUUGUACGUUCCCUAGUUGCUUCCCACU